rnacentral:rRNA from 1 species
GGAUCCAGACUUUGAUCAUGGCUCAGGAUGAACGCUAGCUACAGGCUUAACACAUGCAAGUCGAGGGGAAACGAUAUUGGAAGCUUGCUUCCGAUAGGCGUCGACCGGCGCACGGGUGAGUAACGCGUAUCCAACCUGCCCACCACUUGGGGAUAACCUUGCGAAAGUAAGACUAAUACCCAAUGAUAUCUCUAGAAGACAUCUGAAAGAGAUUAAAGAUUUAUCGGUGAUGGAUGGGGAUGCGUCUGAUUAGCUUGUUGGCGGGGUAACGGCCCACCAAGGCGACGAUCAGUAGGGGUUCUGAGAGGAAGGUCCCCCACAUUGGAACUGAGACACGGUCCAAACUCCUACGGGAGGCAGCAGUGAGGAAUAUUGGUCAAUGGGCGAGAGCCUGAACCAGCCAAGUAGCGUGCAGGAUGACGGCCCUAUGGGUUGUAAACUGCUUUUAUAAGGGAAUAAAGUGAGUCUCGUGAGACUUUUUGCAUGUACCUUAUGAAUAAGGACCGGCUAAUUCCGUGCCAGCAGCCGCGGUAAUACGGAAGGUCCGGGCGUUAUCCGGAUUUAUUGGGUUUAAAGGGAGCGUAGGCCGGAGAUUAAGCGUGUUGUGAAAUGUAGAUGCUCAACAUCUGCACUGCAGCGCGAACUGGUUUCCUUGAGUACGCACAAAGUGGGCGGAAUUCGUGGUGUAGCGGUGAAAUGCUUAGAUAUCACGAAGAACUCCGAUUGCGAAGGCAGCUCACUGGAGCGCAACUGACGCUGAAGCUCGAAAGUGCGGGUAUCGAACAGGAUUAGAUACCCUGGUAGUCCGCACGGUAAACGAUGGAUGCCCGCUGUUGGUCUGAAUAGGUCAGCGGCCAAGCGAAAGCAUUAAGCAUCCCACCUGGGGAGUACGCCGGCAACGGUGCAACUCAAAUGAAUUGACGG